UACGGGGGGAGCAAGCGUUGUUCGGAUUUACUGGGCGUAAAGGGCGCGUAGGCGGUCAGCACAAGUCAGUUGUGAAAUCUCCGGGCUUAACUCGGAAAGGUCAACUGAUACUGUGCGACUAGAGUGCAGAAGGGGCAACUGGAAUUCUCGGUGUAGCGUGGAAAUGCGUAGGAUAAUCGAGAGGAACACCUGCGGCGAAGGCGGGUUGCUGGGCCGACACGUGACGC
rnacentral:rRNA from 1 species